AUUGAACGCUGGCGGCAUGCCUUACACAUGCAAGUCGAACGGCAGCACGGGAGCAAUCCUGGUGGCGAGUGGCGAACGGGUGAGUAAAGUAUCGGAACGUGCCAAGUCGUGGGGGAUAACGUAGCGAAAGUUACGCUAAUACCGCAUACGAUCUAUGGAUGAAAGCGGGGGAUCGCAAGACCUCGCGCGAUUGGAGCGGCCGAUAUCGGAUUAGGUAGUUGGGGGGGUAAAGGCUCACCAAGCCGACGAUCUGUAGCUGGUCUGAGAGGACGACCAGCCACACUGGGACUGAGACACGGCCCAGACUCCUACGGGAGGCAGCAGUGGGGAAUUUUGGACAAUGGGCGCAAGCCUGAUCCAGCCAUGCCGCGUGCAGGAUGAAGGCCUUCGGGUUGUAAACUGCUUUUGUACGGAACGAAAAGGUUUGGCUUAAUACGUUGAACUCAUGACGGUACCGUAAGAAUAAGCACCGGCUAACUACGUGCCAGCAGCCGCGGUAA
rnacentral:rRNA from 1 species